GUGUCAGCCGCCGCGGUAAUACGUAGGUGACAAGCGUUAUCCGGAAUUACUGGGCGUAAAGCGCACGCAGGCGGUGGGGUAAGUCUGAUGUGAAAUCUCCUGGCUUAACUGGGAGGGGUCAUUGGAAACUGCCGUACUUGAGGCGAUGAGAGGGGUGUAGAAUUCCCGGUGUAGUGGUGGAAUGCGUAGAUAUCGGGAGGAAUACCAGUGGCGAAAGCGACACCCUGGCAUUAGCCUGACGCUCAUGUGCGAAGGCGUGGGGAGCGAACGGGAUUAGAAACCCUCGUAGUCC
rnacentral:rRNA from 1 species